rnacentral:rRNA from 1 species
CCCUACGGGGGGCAGCAGUGGGGAAUUUUCCGCAAUGGGCGAAAGCCUGACGGAGCAAGACCGCGUGAGGGAGGAAGGCUCUUGGGUUGUAAACCUCUUUUCUCUGGGAAGAACAAAAUGACGGUACCAGAGGAAUCAGCAUCGGCUAACUCCGUGCCAGCAGCCGCGGUAAGACGGAGGAUGCAAGCGUUAUCCGGAAUGAUUGGGCGUAAAGCGUCCGCAGGUGGCAAUUCAAGUCUGCUGUUAAAGCGCAGGGCUUAACCCUGUAAAGGCAGUGGAAACUGAAUAGCUAGAGUAUGGUAGGGGUAGAGGGAAUUCCCAGUGUAGCGGUGAAAUGCGUAGAUAUUGGGAAGAACAUCGGUGGCGAAGGCGCUCUGCUGGACCAUAACUGACACUCACAGGACGAAAGCUAGGGGAGCGAAUGGGAUUAGAUACCCUUGUAGUCC